AUUAAAACCUAGGUGGGUGCUUGAGAACAUACUCUAGCCAUUCAAUCUCCAACUAUGCCACUUCUUUCUUUGACCAACUUCGAAUUUGAAGCUAGGACUGAACACUUUAUGCUUUGGAAUUGGACUUUUGCUGUAGAGUUCAUAUGUGUUCAGCUUGUAAGCAUCAGCUUCAGUAGUGAGGGAAGGGUUGCAGUUCACUUGUUUCGAGUAACUUCGUCUUCAUAACAAGAUCAAUCUGGCCGCUGGAGGUUGAUGUAGACGCGUAAUCUGAUGCCACUUCUUGCUUAUUGGAUUGUCGCACAAGGAUGUUCAUGUGGUCAGAGACAUUGAAGAUGUUGGUCGUCCCGUUGGAGUAGUUGGUU